UACGGAUGUGGCUAGCGUUGUUCGGAAUUACUGGGCGUAAAGCGCACGUAGGCGGCUGUGUAAGUUAGAGGUGAAAGCCUGGAGCUCAACUCCAGAAUUGCCUUGAAGACUGCAUAGCUUGAAUCCAGGAGAGGUGAGUGGAAUUCCGAGUGUAGAGGUGAAAUUCGUAGAUAUACGGAAGAACACCAGUGGCGAAGGCGGCUCACUGGACUGGUAUUGACGCUGAGGUGCGAAAGCGUGGGGAGCAAACAGG
rnacentral:rRNA from 1 species